rnacentral:rRNA from 1 species
UCUGAAUAUGGGGGGACCAUCCUCCAAGGCUAAAUACUCCUGACUGACCGAUAGUGAACCAGUACCGUGAGGGAAAGGCGAAAAGAACCCCGGCGAGGGGAGUGAAAAAGAACCUGAAACCGUGUACGUACAAGCAGUGGGAGCACCUUCGGGUGUGACUGCGUACCUUUUGUAUAAUGGGUCAGCGACUUAUAUUCUGUAGCAAGGUUAACCGUAUAGGGGAGCCGCAGGGAAACCGAGUCUUAACUGGGCGUUAAGUUGCAGGGUAUAGACCCGAAACCCGGUGAUCUAGCCAUGGGCAGGUUGAAGGUUGGGUAACACUAACUGGAGGACCGAACCGACUAAUGUUGAAAAAUUAGCGGAUGACUUGUGGCUGGGGGUGAAAGGCCAAUCAAACCGGGAGAUAGCUGGUUCUCCCCGAAAGCUAUUUAGGUAGCGCCUCGUGAAUUCAUCUUCGGGGGUAGAGCACUGUUUCGGCUAGGGGGUCAUCCCGACUUACCAACCCGAUGCAAACUACGAAUACCGAAGAAUGUUAUCACGGGAGACACACGGCGGGUGCUAACGUCCGUCGUGAAGAGGGAAACAACCCAGACCGCCAGCUAAGGUCCCAAAGUCAUGGUUAAGUGGGAAACGAUGUGGGAAGGCACAGACAGCCAGGAUGUUGGCUUAGAAGCAGCCAUCAUUUAAAGAAAGCGUAAUAGCUCACUGGUCGAGUCGGCCUGCGCGGAAGAUGUAACGGGGCUAAACCAUGCA